UUCGACAAUACCUGGCAGGUUCUUCAGGGAUCUCACUGGAGCUAUGAUCCUGUGAUGGUUCCUUCUCUUUGGGUGUCCACCGCCCGCGACGAUACACGUCGGGCGCUAUGGUUCUAGCUAUAUUAAUGAUGCUUUAUGUAUGAUAGUAUUCGAGGAGUAUUAAUUAGUGAUAAUAUUCGACGAUGUAUGGACACAAGAGAUCGAUGAUGUAGUCUUGCUUAUAAU
rnacentral:lncRNA from 1 species